rnacentral:rRNA from 1 species
AUGGAUAGGCAAGGCAUUUCCUCUCCGGUCUACGACAACAAUGACGGCGUGAACAACUACAUCUCAAAAGCGUCAAUCUUCGAUCUACAACGACAAAUGCAAGGCGCACAAUCAAGAUUGCAAGAGCGCAUUGAGAUCAUCUCCAUCGACAUUUUCCACUCCGAAGUAAGAAAAAGGGACUACAUCGACAACAAGCUUGCCACACAAAAGGAGGAGCAAGAUGCGAGGAUGGAAGAGAUUCGGGCCUUGAUCAAGUCUUCUUCCACUUCAUCAUCAUCAAGACGACGACGGUCAAGCCACAAGUCCUGA